UGAGGAAUAUUGGUCAAUGGACGGAAGUCUGAACCAGCCAAGUAGCGUGCAGGAUGACGGCCCUAUGGGUUGUAAACUGCUUUUGUAUGGGGAUAAAGUUAGGGACGUGUCCCUAUUUGCAGGUACCAUACGAAUAAGGACUGGCUAAUUCCGUGCCAGCAGCCGCGGUAAUACGGAAGGUUCGGGCGUUAUCCGGAUUUAUUGGGUUUAAAGGGAGCGUAGGCCGUUUGGUAAGCGUGUUGUGAAAUGUAGGAGCUCAACUUCUAGAUUGCAGCGCGAACUGUCAGACUUGAGUGCGCACAACGUAGGCGGAAUUCAUGGUGUAGCGGUGAAAUGCUUAGAUAUCAUGAAGAACUCCGAUUGCGAAGGCAGCUUACGGGAGCGCAACUGACGCUGAAGCUCGAAGGUGCGGGUAUCGAACAGG
rnacentral:rRNA from 1 species